AUUAAAGGAGAAAGAAAAUGGAUAUUAAUAUUGAUUUACAAAAUUUAAUCAUGGUCACAAAAUGUGACCGAGAACCGGUUAGGGCGAAAUGACAAUAAAAUUGAUGUCAUUCGCGAAUUCAUAACGCGGUGAAAAUAUACAUUUAAUUUAUUGAAACUUUGAUGGUAUAGCGACAUAGUUUUGUCGAAUCCACAUAAAAAUCUAAUUUAGAUGUAAUGGAAUUUAAACAACAAACUCAGCCUUAUUUUAUUUACAAUGUCUUUCAAUAAUUCUGGAUUUUCAAAAUAACUUAUGCACAUGAAACUUACAAAACAACAGUUACUCCUAUCGGCCUAAACGUUUUUCACAUUUGAAUCCAACCAAAUUACAAUAAGAUGAUACCAGUUUUGUCACUUAUCGUAAGCUUUUCUCUGUUAAUGUCAAUGGACCAUUUGCUUAAUAUAAGUUUAAGAACAUCAUUUUGGAAGAAAACGUUGGCUGAUUAUUACACCUUGAUUGUACAGUGAGUACGGUUGUUGCUUUUUUUUUAACAAAGAAAACUCAUAACUUUGGCAGACUUUUCAAAAUCACAGGAACCAAUAUUUAAAUGAAUAACAUGCCAAUAAACAACACUGUGAUGAUUUAUAAUAAACGGCUUAAACCUGCAAACACAAAUCAACAAAGUUACGUGACCCUAAGGAUUUCUCUCUUGCGACUCUUUAAAGAAGAACGGACGUCUCAUCGGAACAAUCAGAAAAUCGCAAGCAACUUAUGAUAAACCAUAGCAAAAUUUCAUUCUAGCACUUAUGUCCUUAUGUAAAGCAGAAACACUCAAAGAAAAAUAGCAGGGGUAUCAUAAAAUAAAACUCAGUUUAGAAAGGAAACAAAGGUAUAAUACAGGAAUCCUAGGCCAACCAACGAUAUUGAAAUGCAGAAAAAAGUAUUAAACAAACAGUCGAAACAUAAUCGAGUAGAAUAACCAACCCAAACAAGAAAGGAGAUCUCGAGUUAUCGUAUGUUGUGGACGGCUAGCUGCUUACUGUUGUGCUACGAGUUACCGCUUUCGACCCUUGGAAGCUUCCUCCUGCGAUCUGUCCCUGUUUUGACCUUGACUCUAUAUCCCCAAUGAAUAUAGAUCUGCCUUUGAUGUUCGCGAGACCGAAAUCGCCGUUGACCUCCUGCUAACGCCUUUGGAUAAAUGGUUGCUAAGCGAAUCGCCGGCGGAAAAACAAAUCGGACGGAAUAUGAGUGAUUCCGGUUGGUGUAGGCCGCGAUUAGGGGUUUGCUGAAGGUGUUGACGGUGAGGUCAUGAUUUCAGGUGGCGGUGGAAUCGAUUGUGGAGAUGGAAGAAGGCGAAGGGUUUGAAUCACGGUGAGAGAGGGUUUGGUGGUGGCGAUUCACGGUGAGGUAAGCGAUUUACACGGAGGUUGAGCGGAGAUGGGAGGACGCGUUAGGUUGUGUUGCGAUGAAGAUGAUGAAGGGUUUGAGGGUUACCGUUGGUGGUGGCGAAAGGGAUUUUGACGGUGGAUUCCGUGGUUGUGUUGGUGGAAGAGGAGGAUGGAGGGUUUUGUGAGGGAGAAAGAGAGUGAGGGAUUUUGAGAGAGGCGGAGGGUUUUGUAAGGGUUUCUGUGAAGUGGAGUGUGAGCGAGAGAGGAGAGGGAAAGGUGAAGUGUGUCAUUUGUGGGUGAGUGAUUUGUGAGGAUCCGCAAUCCGAGAGAGUGAAGGGUCGGUGAAAUAGUGAGGUGUCCAUCUGAGUGGAAUUCUGUUUUGAGUGGAUUGUGGGUAGGCACGUGGAGCGUGUGAGGAUUAUACCAGCAGCUUAUGAGUGAAUUUUUUUGUUUUUAGUGGAUUGGGGGAUCCAAUGUAAGAAAUAUACAUUUUCCAUAAUUGUUAUUUAAAUAAUAAAUCAUAAAAACCUUAGUUAAUAUUUAAUUUAAA
rnacentral:lncRNA from 1 species